rnacentral:pre_miRNA from 1 species
UUUGAGGUAAAUGGUGGGUAGCCAACUUGGAGGAAGUGAUCAACCAUUGGGAUAAAAUUAAAUUUGCUUCUUUUUAUCCCCAAAUUUUUUUUACCGUGGGUAAAAAGAUCUUGGGGGUAUAAAAAGAACCAGAUUUAGAUUUAGCCCAAAGAUUGAUGAUGUAUUUCCUCCAAGAAGGAUGCUCACUAUUUUCCCCAAU